rnacentral:rRNA from 1 species
CCUACGGGUGGCAGCAGUGAGGGAUAUUGGUCAAUGGACGAGAGUCUGAACCAGCGAAGUAGCGUGAAGGAUGACUUCUCUAUGGGUUGUAAACUUCUUUUAUAUGGGAAUAAAAUGUUCCACGUGUGGGAUUUUGUAUGUACCAUAUGAAUGAGGAUCGGCUAACUCCGUGCCAGCAGCCGCGGUAAUACGGAGGAUGCGAGCGUUAUCCGGAGUUAUUGGGUUUAAAGGGAGCGUAGGUGGAUUGUUAAGUCAGUUGUGAACGUUUGCGGCUCAACCGUAAAAUUGCAGUUGAAACUGGCAGUCUGGAGUACAGUAGAGGUAGGCGGAAUUCGUGGUGUAGCGGUGAAAUGCUUAGAUAUCACGAAGAACUCCGAUUGCGAAGGCAGCUUACUGGACUGCAACUGACACUGAGGCUCGAAAGUGUGGGUAUCAAACAGGAUUAGAUACCCGAGUAGUC